AAGGAGGAUCCGAGCGUUAUCCGGAUUUAUUGGGUUUAAAGGGUGCGUAGGUGGUUUGAUAAGUCAGCGGUGAAAGUUUGCAGCUUAACUGUAAAAAUGCCGUUGAAACUGUCGGACUUGAGUGUAAAUGAGGUAGGCGGAAUGCGUGGUGUAGCGGUUAAAUACGUAGAUAUCGCGAAGAACACCGAUGGCGAAGGCGGCUUAAUGGGCUAAAACUGACAUGGAGGCGCGAAAGCGUGGGGAGCAAACAG
rnacentral:rRNA from 1 species